rnacentral:rRNA from 1 species
GGCCCUUCGGGGUACUCGAGCGGCGAACGGGUGAGUAACACGUGGGUAACCUGCCUUCAGCUCUGGGAUAAGCCUGGGAAACUGGGUCUAAUACCGGAUAUGACGCGCUACCGCAUGGUGGUGUGUGGAAAGUUUUUCGGCUGGAGAUGGACUCGCGGCCUAUCAGCUUGUUGGUGGGGUAGUGGCCUACCAAGGCGAUGACGGGUAGCCGGCCUGAGAGGGCGACCGGCCACACUGGGACUGAGACACGGCCCAGACUCCUACGGGAGGCAGCAGUGGGGAAUAUUGCGCAAUGGGCAAAAGCCUGACGCAGCAACGCCGCGUGAGGGAUGACGGCCUUCGGGUUGUAAACCUCUUUCAGCGCUGACAAACCCUUCGGGUGACGGUAGGCGCAGAAGAAGCACCGGCUAACUACGUGCCAGCAGCCGCGGUAAUACCUAGGGUGCGAGCGUUGUCCGGAAUUAUUGGGCGUAAAGGGCUCGUAGGCGGUUUGUUGCGUCUGCUGUGAAAGCCCGGGGCUUAACCCCGGGUCUGCAGUGGAUACGGGCAGGCUAGAGUCC